rnacentral:rRNA from 1 species
UAGCCAUGCUAGUUGCACGAGUUUAGACUCGUAGCAUAUAGCUCAGUAACACGUGGCCAAACUACCCUACAGACCGCGAUAACCUCGGGAAACUGAGGCCAAUAGCGGAUAUAACUCUCAUGCUGGAGUGCAGAGAGUUAGAAACGUUCCGGCGCUGUAGGAUGUGGCUGCGGCCGAUUAGGUAGAUGGUGGGGUAACGGCCCACCAUGCCGAUAAUCGGUACAGGUUGUGAGAGCAAGAGCCUGGAGACGGUAUCUGAGACAAGAUACCGGGCCCUACGGGGCGCAGCAGGCGCGAAACCUUUACACUGCACGACAGUGCGAUAGGGGGACUCCGAGUGUGAGGGCAUAUAGCCCUCGCUUUUCUGUACCGUAAGGUGGUACAGGAACAAGGACUGGGCAAGACCGGUGCCAGCCGCCGCGGUAAUACCGGCAGUCCAAGUGAUGGCCGAUAUUAUUGGGCCUAAAGCGUCCGUAGCUUGCUGUGUAAGUCCAUUGGGAAAUCGACCAGCUCAACUGGUCGGCGUCCGGUGGAAACUACACAGCUUGGGGCCGAGAGACUCAACGGGUACGUCCGGGGUAGGAGUGAAAUCCUGUAAUCCUGGACGGACCACC